AGAACGAACGCUGGCGGCAUGCCUAAUACAUGCAAGUCGAACGAACUCUUCGGAGUUGGUGGCGCACGGGUGCGUAACGCGUGGGAAUCUGCCCUUGGGUUCGGAAUAACAGUUGGAAACGACUGCUAAUACCGGAUGAUGACGAAAGUCCAAAGAUUUAUCGCCCAGGGAUGAGCCCGCGUAGGAUUAGCUAGUUGGUGAGGUAGAGGCUCACCAAGGCGACGAUCCUUAGCUGGUCUGAGAGGAUGAUCAGCCACACUGGGACUGAGACACGGCCCAGACCUCC
rnacentral:rRNA from 1 species